rnacentral:tRNA from 1 species
AGAAUGUGGACCUGAAAAUAGAA